rnacentral:rRNA from 1 species
CGAACGGGUGAGUAAUGCGUGACCAACCUGCCCCAUGCUCCAGAAUAGCUCUUGGAAACGGGUGGUAAUGCUGGAUGCUCCAACUUGACGCAUGUCUUGUUGGGAAAGUGUUUAGUGGCAUGGGAUGGGGUCGCGUCCUAUCAGCUUGUAGGCGGGGUAAUGGCCCACCUAGGCUUCGACGGGUAGCCGGCCUGAGAGGGCGGACGGCCACAUUGGGACUGAGAUACGGCCCAGACUCCUACGGGAGGCAGCAGUC